rnacentral:rRNA from 1 species
AUGCUGACGAGUGGCGAACGGGUGAGUAAUAUAUCGGAACGUGCCCAGUCGUGGGGGAUAACGCAGCGAAAGCUGUGCUAAUACCGCAUACGACCUACGGGUGAAAGCGGGGGACCGAAAGGCCUCGCGCUAUUGGAGCGGCCGAUGGCUGAUUAGCUAGUUGGUGGGGUAAAGGCCUACCAAGCCGACGAUCAGUAGCUGGUCUGAGAGGACGAUCAGCCACACUGGAACUGAGACACGGUCCAGACUCC